CAGUAGCCGCGGUAAAACGAAGGGGGCUAGCGUUGCUCGGAAUGACUGGGCGUAAAGGGCGCGUAGGCGGUCACGAUAGUCAGAUGUGAAAUUCCUGGGCUUAACCUGGGGACUGCAUUUGAUACUGUGUGGCUUGAGUGUGGAAGAGGGUCGUGGAAUUCCCAGUGUAGAGGUGAAAUUCGUAGAUAUUGGGAAGAGCACCGGUGGCGAAGGCGGCGACCUGGUCCAUAACUGACGCUGAGGCGCGAAAGCGUGGGGAGCGAACAGGAUUAGAUACCCGCGUAGUCCCUGUCUCUUAUAC
rnacentral:rRNA from 1 species